GGCCUCUGGAAAAUAGUUAGCCCUGUGUGUACCUGAGUUAUAAAUUAAUACAGAAAUGAUCUUUUAAUUUAGAAAUGCCUGUGUUUUUGUUGCUGGCCAUAGGGCACUGUGACAAGCAUACAAGGCCCCACUGUUUGUGUCACCACGUUACGUACAAGCCUUCUGAACUCUUACGCAGAUGCAUUUCCAGGAACGUAACUGCCUUUCACUUUUAUUUCACUCAUGAAGUGGCAUUUUUAUCUAAAUGCAUUCAGAGCACGUCCAGAGAAAAGAUUCUGAGAAAUUAUCUACUCCCACCAUAUCUUCAGUUUUCUCUUGCUACCCUAGGUGGAUCUAGAAAUUAAUCAGCAUCAGCAGGAGUGCUGCAUAUCACUUGAAUUUCCUUGGACAGAAGUUAAAUGGCUGGCAGAGGGAAGAGCCUCAAUCCUAUUUUCACUCACCAUUGCAUGUAAGCAGGAUUUUAUUGGCAUGUACGCUGCUGCUCAGGACUUGUUGCAGCAAGGCAUCCAGAAUGUUAGCACCAGGAUGCUAGGCCAGGACUCUGCUACUUUGAAAUAUGGUGUGUUAGAAGGGAUGUGUGUGCCAUAUCUGAAGAUGGAGAAGUCUCAGAAAAAAAAGGACACGCAGCAGAGAUAAGGAUAAAGAAGGUUUUCCUGUCUCUAAGUACUGACACGUAUUUUCAGUUAGAAAGGAGAGAUAUAAAUGCAUUUCUUUUAAAAAAUAAUCAUUCAUCUGGGCACUAGCCCAAUUUUCCAGUCUCUCAAAUUUAUAGCAUGCCUUACAGGCUGUUUGCAUCUUCUUCGUUACAAAUGCACCAUCUUCUGGGGGCCAAAUAUCUCACUAAUCAAAAUAACAAUGAGGACAGAAAGUUAAUGAUGUCCCCAUUUUAUCUGCGGAUUGCAUUCCUGUCCCCCACCACUUGUUCAUUCUGGACAAAAUCCAGAAUAACACUCAGAACCUGAAGUGUAUCUCAGGAAGAGUCUAAGCUCCUCUACUGAGAAGAGGAACUCCAAACGAGCACUCUGAAAGGCUUAAGUCACUUUAAUGACCUUUAUUUUUGGAUGAAAACCUUAAAAAACUUAAGCUGUUUGUUGGAGAUGAUAGAAGUUGGAAACCUUUUGUCAGUCCUCAUGGCUUGAGUGCUCUAACAUAACAAAAAGGGCCAGAGGUUCUUCAAGAGAAAAUGGUGAUCCAGUCAUCUGCACUGAGAUAUUUGGUUUCAGUUUCUGCUUAAAGCACAGUUUCAGGUUCUGAACCCUUAUUUCUUGUAGGUACAGAACUGUAGCUCUUAAUUAUCAGCUACUUCUGGAUAAGAAAGCUAUUCCUUCUGGUGGGCUCAAGCAUUCCCCCUCUCACUCCCAGUAUAUGUCUCAGUAGUAGAAAUGUGGGUCUCACUCAACCUUCCACAUCUUAUCAUUUUCAGAUUUUAUAGCUCUAAAUAUCACGAAUGCCAACAUUUCUUCUUUGGAAACAAUGGCUACAAUGCUACUUUCUUUCCUUUUUUUCUUUUUCUUUUUUUCUUUUUAAUUGUAAGUUGAGAAUCCCAGAUAACAUCUCUUCUCAGGCAUAGGCAAAGUGCUUAUUCUUGGUGAUACGAUGAUUUACAUAAUAAUGUCACGAGGAAAGAGGAAGAGGAGCUGGGCUUUUAUGCCUCCUGCCACAAAAGAGGGACAAAGAAAAGCAGGCAGCAGUUUGCCUCUAAUAAAUGAUCACAACCUGCGUACAUACAGAAGGCUCUUCUGUAAGCAGUUGCUUGUACAGCUGAAUGACUGCAGUACUAUGUUCAUCACACAGUGUCCAGGUUAUGUUUGGUGAAAUCUUCCCAUUUUACAGCCGGGGCACAAGAAACAUCCUCAGGCUAAUGGGUGGACUCCAGGACUGUCCAGAAUGACCUUCUUCUCCCCAUUGCCCAUAGGGAGAGUUGAGGCACGUAGUCUAGAUUCAGCAGUGCAUAUGUGAGGGUUAUUGAGAUGAAUCAUGUUAUGCCUUCUCUUCUAAGAAGUGUUCACUGUUCAUCUGCAGGAGAAAGCGAAGUGCAACUUGACUUCCUCCUAUAGGGCAUCUUGAGUGUCCAUCCACCUACAAAACAACUGAAGAGUUUCCUGCAGGGAGCUAACUUACAGAAGAAAAACAUCUCCUGUGGCAGUAGAAAUGCUUGCAGUAAGACAGAGACCUACGAAGGUGAGAUCCAGCUCUGCUGUAGAAAUCCCAACCAGGUACAAAUCAGACCUGUAUCGGUUGAAAUGUGAUAAAUACAUAAAUAAAUAUAAAUUUUCCUUCUGACAGCCAGAAAGCUUUUAUUCUGGUCCAGAAAGACAAGAAAUUCCCAUCAUUGUUUCAUGCUUUUUUUUUUUUUCUUUUUUCUUUUGAAGUCCAUUUUUCAAAAAGUAAUUUUGAAAUGUUCUGGGAAAUGCAGGGGGUGGGAACACUAAUCUAUCAUUUCUUCUGAUAGUGUUUAAUUAAAAAACACAGCUAUUAGUCAUCUGCUGCCCUACCACCAGGCCUGGCCUGACAACUUCGUAACACAUUGGUGAAAGAAAAAUUGAGGACACUCUUUUUCAUUUUAUUUUAUCACAGCUGUGGGGGAGUACAAGUAUAUGAUUUAAGGGAGGGCAUUCUCCUGCCAGUUUCUCACGAGGUUAAUCCAGUGUAUGUGCUGGGUUUUUGGUUGUUGUUUUGUUUGGUAUUUUUUUUUUACAUAAGGUUGUAUUUUCUGCUGUUACAGCCAAUGUGGUUGUUAAAACAAACAAAACAACAACAAACAAAGCACAGAGAAACUACUGUGGAAGAAAGCUCUUGUGUGACCAGAGUUAUCAUCAACCAAAGACCUCCAUAACAUGUGUUUUUACACUCCAGAGAGUUAGAUUUCUCACCCAAGGGAAUGGGAAAUAAGGAAAAAAACAGAUUUAAUUGUAAUAGAGAAUAUUUCCCAUACCCAGUCUUUGAGGUGACCAUGGACUAGUGAGAUUCAGGCUCACCUUGGCCCAUCUGCUCUCGAACAUGUCUCUUCAUAUACUUGCUGGCUGGGCACACACUUCAGUGGAGAAAGGCCUAAAGCCAUAAUACCAGGAAAUGAGCAAAAGGAAAGUCAAGGAGGUUUCAGUUUACACUCAUUGGCCAUUUUUGUAACUUAGUUAAAAACUAACUGAGCUGAAAGCUUCAGCAUCACAUCCUAACUCUUGAAGGAAGGCAGAAACAUAGAUGUUCUGAAGCUUUAAACUCAUGACAAAGACCAGCCAUAGCCAUUAUCUUGGGUCCAGAUCUUAGUUCCAGAUUGGGAUGGAGAUGCAGAUAUGAUUUUGUUCUUGGUCUGAUUUCCAGGUCAGAUCUGAAUGAUACUGACCUUAGGGAGGAACAUCUACAGCAUCAGAAAGUCACCUGAAUGGUAGAUUUGAUGAAGAAGGAAAUUUCCUACCACCAAUGUACAGAGGUGGGAAAUGCCAAAUUACUGAGGAGGGGAUAAUUAUAGAAUGGGUGGCCUAAGUUGUAAUGUAUGUAAAUGUGCCUUAAAAAUUCAGUCCUGGGUUCACAUGCUCAUUUCAGAUGACUUCUGCAUGAAGGAAGUGACGUGCAAUCCCAGACCAAAAGUACAUUCACCUUCUGGCAGGAUCUAGAUGCAGCUGCAUAGGAAAAAAUAGGGAAGAAAAACAGAUAAGUACACUCAGGCUUCAGGAAAUUCAGAGAACAUUUAAAAUGGAAAGAAAAGGAAUGAGCAAUGUAAAACAAUACACAUUUUCUUUGUUGGGUGACCCUCAUGCCCCUGAAGCCAUCAAUGCCACAGACAUUCCCUUAGACAUUCCCUUCCUUCAAAUAUAGAUCAGAAAUCCCUUGUCAUUUUCUUCUAUUUCCCUUCUUCCUUAUCAAAUUAGUCUAUAUCUGCACAGGAAAGAUGCACUCUUAAGUCACAUUAUAAUAACUAAGGUUAGAGAAACAGCAAAGACAAGACAUUUGGCAAUCCACAUUUAAGUGGGAGUCUGAUGUUAGAUGUGAGCUGCGCAACCAUACUAAAACUCCAAGUACCUUACCUUGUAUUUGCAGCCACUAUUUCGAUUUACUUUCUUAUCACCCUUUGUUCUCAAAAACUACUGGAAAUUCUUGCACAAAGUAAAAGUCUCAAGGCUAAGACUCGGAUUCUCAAAGACAUGUUAGAUGCCUAAUUUGCAUUGCAUAUGAUGGGAGGAUGCUUAUGAUAUACCAGACUUAAAAAGCUACUGGUGGAAACAACUGAAUCCAUCUUCGUGCCCUCUUUGUAGAAGAAAGUGCUGGGUUUUACCACUUAUGCCACCUAGGCCAAUAUGUGGGUCAAGUUUGUGGCUGCUAUAAAAAGAAGCUGUGGUUUUACUUUGCUCACAUAAUUGCCAGAUAAACUCAGUGUUCAAGAAGCCAAACCGUUCAGCAAAUUGUGACCUCAACCAUGCAUCCUCUGUAAGACUAUCUCUAGCUAAAAUGAGAACGUACAGCUACCUAUUAUUAUUCUUAUUAUGAUUCAAACUUGGGUUCAGGCUAUUCACAGCCAUUACGGUAAUAACUUGUAACCUAUCAUUAUGAACAGAUUUCACAGGACACACUCCAUGGUUUUCAAUUCUUUCUCAACCCAUGGUGAAAUAUCCUUACAGUGGUAGUGCUCUCAUUCUUAUCCUUAGAUUUCAUGAAAAAAAAAAAGUCAAAUUCCCUUAUUCCCAACACUCUACAUAAAUGUACUAAGUCUAAAGUUUUCUUGCUUUCUUAAACUAUCAGUGUAGGUUAAUGAGCAGUAGAACAUGAUUCCCUGGUCUUUUCUACAGCUGACCUGUGUAUCUAAGAAAAUGUGAUCUCUGACCUAUGUCCCUCUGGAGUCUGAAGUAAACCCAACCCUUGCUCUUACAUUUUCUCAGGUGAGGUUUCCCUGGUGUGCUGUAGAGGAGUUGUAUUCAUGCUGCCGUGUUUUCUCUGACAGGAAAAUGCUGAUGUUUCUCUCUUUCUUCUCUACUGAAACAUCAUUUUAAAUGAAGCUUCAAACACAUUGGUUAUCUCUGAGACAUUUGUGACCCCACCAUCUUUGGCUGAAACUGGUAAGAGGAUUCAAAAGUUGUGAUAAAGGUCAGUGGACAGUUCAACUACUUUGAGAACCACUAGAACACAGACUUACAAAUAUCCUUCCUCCCUCUGCCAGUGCAAAGAUAAAGUUACAGCAAGAGCCAGCAAAGACUGGAACUCAAGAAUUCAUAAUACUGAAUGUAGGUGGGAAAAUGUGUGCAUUUCUGUGGUUUUCUGCAGCUCAUGCCCACCUGCAUGCUACUGCAGCCACACUGCUAUCAGCACUUGGGCCAUGCCACAUGAAGCUACCUCAGCUACAUUACCGUGGGCUGUAGUCACACCUUUGGCUCCAGUUUAGAUACACUUGAAAAGGCUUUUCAAGCCUGAGGCUCUCAUGGGCUGCUGCUGGUCCAGCCCACAGUGUAAAAAAUGCAGGGCAGCAACGCAGAUGAAAGGAAAGCCCUCUACCUCAAGCACAGAACAAAAAGGGCAUCAACUUGGCUUUAUACCAUCUGGGACUCCAAGUGCCUACACAGAUAUUGCUACUGUGGCACAAUGUACAUACAAUAUAUGCAUGUGAAGAUUACUUUUCCUUUUCUAAAGUCAUAAUUACUUGUCCAAUAUUUGCAACUCACAAUCCUCAGUUGCAAGCGUACCAAACUUUCACAGACCUAGCAGAGCAUAAAGUGAAAGCUUAAAACUCUCAGAUCUCCUACUAACUGCAUGAUUCUGAUAACAUAGAGUUUUUUAGGGAACUUCAUUACUGUUUAAUGAAUCCCCUACUCCAAGUUAUAAAUGUGAAAAAGGUGAAUUGAUGCUCCAUGCUUACUUCUUGUCUUCGUUUGUUAAAGCACGUGGUUUGGUUUGGUUACAAAAGUAGCUACAAUGAGAUGUGACCACAGCACCCUGGAUAAAAAUGUAAGAAUAAUCAUACAAAUGUUUUAUUCAUGUGGGAAUGUUAAUUAAGAUGCAGCUGUAAUUACAGUACCAUCAUCAUCUAGUGGUCUGGAAGCGCAAAUGUUCUUCCUGACAUAUGGAAUAAUAGAAACCAGCUCGGUACAAAUGCUGCUAACCGAUACCCAGACAAACACUCAGCUACAUACAUCUCCCGGCCCCCGGGGUGCCCUUCCAAAAGGCAUCAGUCACUGCCACUUGCACAAGCUGUUGAAGACAAAGCUGCAUUUUGCAUCUUCUGGCUUAAAAAAAGAUCACACAGCAUCCCAGGAUUGAAAACAAAUAAACACACAGCUAACCUCAAAGUCCUCACUGACACCAGAACAAAUGUUGGGAACAGCAAAAGUUAGAUGCCGGGGAGGUUUCUUUGUGUCCACCUUCACUUGGAACGCGCUGAUGGAGACAUGGAAUGGCGUACAUGCUUUCUUGGCUAUGUGGAGUGCCCUGGGGCAGAAAGGUCUGGCACAUGGGAUUUGGCUGAGCAGAAUAGCUGAUAUUUGACUGCACUUGGUAAAGCCUCUCCUCCCUUGACUACACCUUAGUGCAAUGCAACAGGCAGGAGCUGUUCAACAUUGUUCUUCUCACAUGGUGCCUUUUGAUAAACAAUGAGAUAGCAAGGAGGAGAAAAUGCACUACUUUUUGUCUCUCUCCUGGCAUUAAGUUGAGAAAAGAAUAAUUUUUACAUGAACCUGUAGUGUUUCUGUGGAUGCUCUUCUGCUUUACUGAAGACCUGGCUUAAACAAAAGAUGAAAUCUAGAAAGCUCUGUGUUAUGAAGUAUGUAAUCUGCGUGGAGCCAGGAGUUGGACUUUGUGAUACUUGUGGGUCUCUUCCAACUUGGAAUGUUCAAUGAUUCUAUGAUUCUGUGUAUCUAGCUCCAAAAUCUCUUUAAAACUUUCCUUUGUUGUGGGCGCUACUAAAAUCUCAGGCAAUGCUUAGCUUUUUGACAUUCUUAUUUUGCUAUCUGUCAUUUUGACAACAGUUUUUUCAUCUUUACACACACACUUUGUCUUACAAAGGUGUGUAGAUCAUAAAAAUUUUGUGUAAAGAUCAUCCUUUUACUUUGUGUUGAUGUCCAAGGUUCCAGUUACUUCAAUGAAAAAUAUUCACAGUGUUUCAGGGAUGAAGAACCGAGGUACUGACUUUGUCCUGCACAAAAGUUAGGAGCCAGGCAGAGUUCAGGCUUGUACUGAAACAGCUUCCAAGUUCACAGCUCUGGGGCUAGUUGAGACCCAUCUGUAAGAAAAUCACUCAUAGCUCACACAGGCUGGGAAAGAGUAUUUUCGUUCUGCUAGACACAUCAACAUAUCUAAAUUAGGUUCUGUUACAGAAUGUAAAUAGAAAUCAAAAUACCAGAAAAAUAUAAAAGUCCCAAAACAAAAUUUCAGCAUAGUAGCAUACAAACAAAACAAGCAAACAAAAAAACCCUUGGAUGACAUCAAAUGGUUGUUUUCAAACUUCUGAAAUGUAAAAAUCAGCAUUCUGUGGUAAAUGGCAAACCCAAAUCCAUUUUUGUUCUGAAUCCCAUAAAUGAGAAGAUCUGAACCUGCCAUCUGAAGUAGAGUUCCCUGAAGAAAAACAUGUAUGCACACAACACUCUCUAGUGUGUCCUCCACAAAAUAUCAGCACAGCCCUGCCUUGUGGUCAGUGGGGAUAUUUUGAUUAAAGGCAUUUCAGCCAGCUUGACCUAUUGUACAAGGGAAGGACUCCUCUGUGCAUCUGCUGCUUCAUUAGUAUUUGCCAAUCACCUGCUGUGCCUGGGGACUUUGUUCUUUGGGUGGACAGGAAAACCCCAAUCAUUCAGUUGUCACUGCAAAUUUCUUGCCUAGUGGCUGUGGUGUUUAAUUGUCUUAAUUCCCUAGUAGUAGAGGGCCAAUACUUCAUGCAAGCAGUUAAAUGAAACAAUUAGUGUAACAUUUGCCAAUCAUGAGGUGUAUCAAAUAUUAACAACAAAAACGUACUUACCUGUUUAUCUGUUCUCUAGAAAUACUGAACCCACUUCCAUAACUGGAGCUCUUAAGUUCAGAGACGCUCCUAAGAACUGGCUGUUAGAUUCGUGGUGCUGAUGGUAGGGAAGUGGCUCUGGCCCUUGUCACAGAGGAAAUAAGAAAAACGAAAGGCAUCUGAAGCAGGUAAAAAUAUUACACGACAGUUUCAGGGGACUUCCUGUGGGAAGGCAGAGGGCUUGUCUUGUUUCCCUACACAUAUAUUCAGUAACUUAAGUUAGAGGGUAACAUUUUCUGGGUGCAAGGAGGAAGUGCUGAUUACAACUCUAGCUUUUUGCUUCAGUGGAGGAUAUAGUCCUUACUUCCACACUUCCAAAACACACUGAGUUGUUAGCUUCUUAUUUCAUUUAGCGCUGCCACCCUCAUCUCCAUUCUUAUUUUCCUUCUGUUGCCUUGACCAAUCCAUUGACUCUCCCUCCAUUUUGAGGAAAUUCUGACUUCUGGUAGAAAGUGUCAAGACUUUCAGGAGAGACUUCUCUGAGGUCCUGCUGAACUCUUCAUGCAAUCAUCACAGAAUCAGAAUCGUAGAAUCAUAAAAUGGCUUGCACACACAGUCUUCAGACACGGCCUUAGGUGGUAUGUGAGACUCACUGUUAACAUCUCCAGGCUGUUUAAGUACUUACGUCCCCACGGGCACACUGAGUGGGCCUUGUGCACUGUCUCCUGAUUAUAUGCACCAAGCAUUUGCUGGCACCACUCCUGGUAUGGGAGAGAACAGGCCAGGGACUGUGUUCAACUGACAUGUGGACAAAAGGCACGUUGUUUUCGGAAGGAAAAUGGUUUAGUUGCAAAGUCAUGAUCUGUGCCAUGUUACUUUCCUGAAGUUUAGGGAAACAGGAAACAAGGAAACAGGAAGGCCCUGUUCAUUAUAUCUGCUGCUAUGGAUGCAGUCUCAGAACUUGUACCUGGAAACUGCCAUCCCAAAGCAUAGAGAGACACAGAAAAUGAGGGCUGUUCUGGAGUAGCAGUUUCAGAAGGUGUAUGAGCAAAGACCCAGACAGAGAAGAGUGUCUCCACAUGGACUCUCAGCCCUGGACUAAAUUUUAAUCACGUUUGCCAUUUUGCAAAUGGACCUGACAGUAAUGGCUACAGUGUGAUCAUACUGUGCUAAAACCUCAUAAAAAGGCUUAUCUCUCAGUCAUCACAGGGAAUCAGCACUGUUGGCACACCCUGGACUGAAGUAGACCCUGGCAAAGACACCUGAAUAUGGAGAAUCCUUCAAACCUAUGUCAAAGAAUGGAAAUACUCAUCACAACCACUUAAAAUCAGGCCUUUUAGCAUUAGCCUGACAUACCCGUCCCCUAAAAUAAUAAGCUUGGUAAUUACAAACAAUCUUAAUGAAUGUUGGAUUUUAUUCAUUUAGCCUUUGGACUUGCAGGUGCUAAAAUCCACUUAGCUGUGAUGGAGCUUUUCCCAGCAAGCCAAGCAUCGUGGACUUUUCUCCCUCUAGAGAGAUGUGGGGCGCUCAGGUGUGAGAUCUGGCAGCUAGUUUUCAAAUAAGACAUUCAGAUUGGGAAGAUUCAGAUGCCAACAUCUGAAUCUUGAGGUACAAAGAACUCCCUCUACUUGCCAAGAGCACUAUUUCCACUGUUUCUUUGAAUUUACAAUGCAUUUAUGUUUACCUUGAUGAUCCUGUUAGAAAUGAAGGGGAUUUUUUUUCUUUUUAAUUUUACUAAGUCUAUAUCAUUGUGUUGAAUGUGUUUUUGUUUGUUUUUUAAAGACAGUCCUGAGCAAUAUCCAGACCUAGAAAAGUCUACAGUUUCAGCUGUUCCAUGUCUGGCAUUCAGUUCUCCUCCUUACACCCAAGUGACAUUAAGCCUCUGUGGCAAUUUCCCACUGGGGACACUAAAAGCUCUCAUCCAACAUAGGAGUUUAGGCUCUGCAUGUUUUUAGGGUGGUGCAGUUAAGCCAUUACCAUCUACUCCACUCUCACCCAAACAAUUGGGAAGGCCUGGACCAGUCCUUGUCACAAGUCAGAGCAUCCUCAGAUUUACUUGUGUUAGUGCAUACUACUCAGCAGUGACCCCAUUUGGUCAUUGAAAUGUGGUCCCAUGGUCAGGAAAUGUGGAUGCAUACAAAAGAAGAAUCCACACCCUACAUUUAUGUGUAUAUAUGUUUGUGUAUAUGUGUAUGGCCAAAUACACGAGCACUUUGCAGUGUUAGAUUGAUUUUUACCUGAAUUACCUUCACACUGGCUACUAUUAAAGUCCACUAUGGUUCACAGUGAUAUCUUAUUGCUGUUCACAAAGGUGAGUAACUGCAGAUAUGAGAAAUAACAAACAAAAAGCAAAGACAACACAGACCACAGGGAGGGGAAACUGACCUUGGCAUCCCUUCCCUGAAAACAAGCAGGGAGUCAUCCCAUCCCACUCAGCGCCUACAGUAUCUUGUAAUGUUGCCACAAAGGAGCUCACCCCCCACACCAGGGCUCCCCUGACUUCAUCCCUCCUUCAUCCCAUCCCUCACAUCACUACAGCUCUCACAACAAAUGACACUCCCAUUUAUCUCUCACACCAGCAGAGCUGAUGUCAGACUCCUUCUGGCUAUUCCCAGGCUCUUUUUCCAGCACGAAUAUAUUAACAAAAAUAUUUCUUGCUGCUUUCAUUUUCCCACUGUUACUUUCUCCACUGAUUUUAAUUAAAUGCUCUGUGGUUUGUAGAAUGGGACAAGGAGGGUUUAUUUCCCUUUCUGCAAAAGAGCCCACCAAGAAGGUUUCCUUAAUCUCUCACCAGCAUAAAAUGAGCUUUCAUUAUGCCAACAUGUAAGCUUCAAAGUUUUAAUUAAUUUCUCUGCUUACAUAAGCAUAACAAUAUUAGUCAUGUUGUUCUAUAAAUUGUACCGGCCAGCCUGGAUUUUUAAUUAAAUUAAUGUCAUUACAUUGAGAGAGAUGAAAUAUAUUCCACAUGCCCUAUCUAGGCAAUGCUUACCCUCCCUCUUGACUCCUCCUCAAUUCUUUGUGGGCUACAUAGGUGGCUUAAAGCUGGGCUCACCAGAUGAGCCUACCAGCAAACCACUUAUAAAUUAACAACCAGUGUUUGAGAAAGAUAUUUCUUCAGAGAAGCAGGACCCAAUUAAACAUACUGCAAAAGAAACAAAAAAAACAAACAAAAAAAAAAACAAAAGAAACCACAGGGGUCUGGGAGUGGAGGAGGAAUGAAUAUGGUCAUGUGUGAAAAUACUCCUCAUUGUCUGUAAUUUUUGAAAUAUUGCACAGAUGCAAAUUUGGUUUGCUAUUGUAGCCAUUUAUCGAUGCCUAAUAAAACAGUCAUUUGUGUGGUGACCUCUGUAAUGAUUCAUAGAUUCAUUUAAUCAUGGAAAUGGAAGGCUCAAAGGAACCUCGAGAGAUCGGUUUUGUCCCCUGGAUUUCUCUGGAGUUAUAUAACAGUAACAAGAAGAGCAAAACCAAAAUGCAUCAAUAAAGUGGGUACGUUCUAGAGUUUGGUCUCCUGCUGUGUUAGACGUUAUCACAGAUAGACUGCACUCAGAAAAUACCUCCUCUUAUUUGUAACAUGCCUUAGCUCAGCUGUAACUCAUACCAGAUGAAUUAAAGCUUGACUAACGACUCUGCUGUUCUUCUUACUGAGGCUUGAAGAGUGUAUAUUUAAUGACUGAAAUGUGUUUAUUUAAAAAUUUCAUAGCAGAGUAAUGACAGCCUUUUGUAAACUCCAACAACCAGUCUGUUUGCUGCCUGCAAUUCAAAACAAUUGCCUUCCAAAACAGACACUAACCUUUGGUGUCUGCAGCCACAUCCCACAGAACAAAUUGUCUUACAUCACGUAUGCACACCACCACCACACCGUAGACUUGUUUAAAUCACCAGUUGCUAAGCUAUUUCAUGCACAGAUGCCAUGGCUUAGUGCUGAUCCUCCUGUGAGUUUGUACAAGCACAAACCCUAUGAGUGUUAAUUGUGAGUGUGUCUCAGUUCAAAAUGUAGAUACAGAUGUAGAUAUAGGUGCAGAUGUAGGUUUAGGUGUAGAUAGAUAUGGAUAGAGAUGCACGUAUGGGUAUGGAUACAGUACUACGUAGGUUACUCCAAAAGGAAUGCCUCCUAUUUAUUUCCAUGGAACCUACUACAGAUACAAAGAGCACAAUAACACUAUUUGAUAAAGCAAAAUCUCAGAUACAGAACACUAUUUUUCAGCAUAGCCAACACCAUUAGAUAUGUAUUUUUGCCAUCAACGAACAAGAACCUGCAUGCCAUGCUUGUAAAAUCCUGCUCCAGCAGAGGUGACCUACUGUUUCACAGCUGCUGUGUGGUAUCUUUGCUAGGAAAGCGCUGCCCAUGCAGUCCAUCUUCAUCAGCCCAAACAGUUGGAAGUCAGAAGGCACCAAAUCUGACCUAUAUGGUGGGUGUGGUAGGACAGUUGAGCCAAGAUCUGCAAUGUGCUCCAUGGUCAAACUGACACGGGACCUGGUAUAUUGCAGUUUCUCUAUUACUACGUAAUAGUCAUGAAGAAGGCUCUUUGCCUGCAUGGAUUUAUGCACCCAGAACCUACUGCAGUGUUGCAUUACCUCUCAGUCUCCCAGUCAGCCCAUAAGCCCAGCCUGCAGGGAGCAACCUCCCAGAGAAAUAACAAACACUGGCUUUGUGUCCCAAGGGGCAAGGCCCAGCUCAGUGCCUAGGAAUGAGGCAGAUCAGGAGCAGACCUGAAUCUCUGUUAAUAAUCCAAGAUGAAAGUGGUGAAGCACUGGCACAGGCUGCCCAGAGUAGCUGUGGGUGCCCCGUCCCUGGAGCUGCUCAAGGCCAGGUUGAAUGGGGCACCAUUCAAUUUUAUACACAAAUCUGAGCAGAAAUUAGUGAUAAAAUCAUGAAGGAAAGACAGGCUUGCUGAAAGCACUCAGAGCUAACCACGAGGCAAAGAAAAUCAGGAUUGAGCAAAGCCAGGUCUGGAGUGAGAUAAAACAACUGCUGACCUAGUCUGUACUUUAUCAAUUUUUCAUAUCAGCUGAAUUUUCUAAUAUGAGCACUGUGGAAAUCAUACAGAAUUGUAAAGGCGAAAAGCUCUGAGCUUCCUUGACAUCAAAGACUAACUAUAUAAAGAGAUGAUGGAUGCUAUGGAGAGUUGGCCACCAUUAGCAGUUCAGAAUGUCAGCUUCCUGCUGCCAAAAAUUAAAAAUCUGAGUGGGGAAUUCAUUAAUUAAUUAAUGAAACAGGCAUAAACUGUAGGAAUGUUACACUAUUCCCUUUUGAGUAGUGGGCUUUGAGGCUACGAAUCCUGCUAUUGCUUUCGUAUAGAAAGGUAUAAUACAGUGGAUGGUGAAAUUAGGCCACGGUAUCAUAACUUUCUCAGGGAACUGUGAAGUGCAGCUGAGUUCUGUUUUCAUUUUGGGGAAUCAUUCCAUUGGAAUGGUAAGAGUCGAUAAUCUAUUGGAGAAACAUAAUGCAAUGAAAGUAUUCCAGUUUAAACACAGCCUAGCUCAAGGCACCCACAAGUGUUCACAAACAGUUAAAUGAUCCCUAAGUGAGUGUUAUUUAUGUUUGCAGAGUUUAGCUCAAAUUAUAAAACUGUGAUCAGGACUUUGGCUGAAACAUUAGAGUUCACGAAUGUUCACAACAAAGGUUUUGUUUUAAUUUGACAUUAAAUGUGGAGAUGACAGCUCACUGAAGUGUGAAAGCAGGGGGUACUCUUGAGGAAACAUUUGAGUGAAAUGAAUGUUUUCCAGCCAGAGGAAAAAAAAAAUAGAGUUUUAAUUUUCAGGCAAACAAACAACAACAACAAAAAAGAAAAUGUCACUUUAUUUUUAGGGCAAACGUUUAAGACGAAGAAACUGUUCUUCAUAAUAAUGUCAAUUUAAUUGGAAGUUCAGUUUCCCAGUGGACAAAGAAGAAUGUGAAAUACUGAACUUGGUGGAGAAUCCUGGUAGCUUAGGAAGGAUUUGUGGUCUAAAGGUAUGUCGGCAAUGCAGCACAGAAAGCAGUAGGAUCACACUGAAGGGUCUAGGUUGAAGAGGAGAGCAAUGCAUUUCUGUCUACUGCAUAGAUGGACAAAGAGGUACCAUAAAUCAACUCAGGGAACAGACCCAAAAGCAAAAAUCCUUUUACCCUGUAGCCAUUUUCUGGUCAUGCAGAUCAGGAAGCAUUUAGUUUGGCUAAAGCAAGGACUGAGAUGGAUGAAAAGCAUGAUCAGACCUGGGGUGCUCAGCACAGUAGUGUCUUGCAACUGAAUAUGUUUUUAUCCUUUGUGCAACCAGAAGUUAUGGAGGACUGCAGCUUGUUUAUGUUCCUGAAUGGAGAAUAAGGCUCAAAGAAAUUGAUCUGUAAUAUCUGGUAUCUGCUGUUGGCUAAUAACUAAUUGCAUCUUUCAGGUGUAGACAUUGGUAACAGAGAGAGAGAUUGAGAUUUUUAAAGAGCACUGUGGAAACUGAGCAGAUUUGUAUAGGAAGUUUAGUAACGCGCUCUCCGAUAGAUCAGAUUAGCUGCUGACAUGAAAAAUUAUCUCAGAGGGUUGCUUUAGGUAAGUGGUAAGGGAAAUUAAAAAAUUCAGAGAGCAUCUGCCAAAAGUAAUAUAUACCCAUACACUCGUAUAAGGAGAAACAAAAAGAUGUUGAAGCCCUUGAUUUCCAAUAGUGCUUCAUUUAUACAGCUUCUGUUGCAGUCACAACCCCAUGAAGGACCUGGGCUUCUAGAAAUAGGAACAUUAUGGAUAAUAAAUGAAAAACACUCAGGAGAAGGCUUUUUCCCACCUUCCAAGUAGUAUUUCACAGCAUGACAAGCAUGAAUUACAUGCCCACUCCCUGUCAGUGCCCUCAUACUGUUUGAUGAUAGGAAGCAUCCCCAGUACAAAUGAGAAACAGGCCCAAAAUUCCAGAAAAUAAAACUGAGGGGUUUUUUUUCUCAUUUGGUUGUUUGUUGAGGGGUGGAGGGUAGGGGAGCUGAACGCUUCAGUUGUUAGUAAUAUAGAAAUAUGUAUUUCUAGGCUAAUUAAAAGGAUAUGCAAGUACAUACAUAAUUUUUGAACCUAGUAAAUAAUAUGCUUUAGAAAUCAGGAGGCUGACUUUACUGGGGGAAGAGGGAGAAAGAGCAGGGGAAUCCAGCACCACAGGUAUUUUACAAUGAUGAAGGCAACACUCCAGAUUAAUCCUCCACUGCAUGCCUAGGAGCUUUCAUGUUUUCCACUUUCCAGUUGCCCUUUUUGUCUUUCUUUACCAAGAAUCAUCAUGCCAGCAUACCACUUUCUUUGAAAUAACGAAGAGUGGUAGUACAGUCUCUCGAUACUGUCUUCUUUGAAACCGGCUCUGUCACCAUUUGAUUUUUGGCAUAAAAGUCUUCUUACAAUGAUCCCUUCCAGUCACCCUCUAUUCCUGGUCAGGUUCUCAUUCCUCCAUAUUGAAGUCACUAAUUUCCCCCUGAUAGUUUAUGUUAGCCCGAUGUCUGAUGAGAGGUCUCCUCUUUCAUCUAUCAUAGAUGAAAAACGUGCCACUAGCACUCAUAUCUGUAGUAGUAGUAGUAAAUUUUGUAGGGGUUUUUUUGUUUGUUUGUUUUUGUUUUUGUUUUUUACUAUCCCUGCAUGUGUUCAAAAGCCUUGGAGAUGUGGCACUGAGGGACAUGAUUAGUAGGCAUGGUGGGGAUGGGUUGGGGUUGGACUGGAUGAUCUUAGUAGUCUUUUCCAACCUUAAUGAUGCUUUGAUUCUAAAUAGGAAACUCAUCACCACCAACAGUCUUUGCACAGAGAAUUAUUUGCAUUGUGGAGUGGUUUCUUCUUUGUAUAACAUCUCCUGUUCUGUAAUAGAAAGUAUUUAUGGACUAUCAAUCAGAUCAAUAUAUUAGUAAAUCACUGUCUUAGCUGUGCAGAUACUGUUCUUAGGCAGACUUUGCUAAAGAUAUCAGAGAACUCCUUCUCCAAAAUGGGUUCCCAUUUACCCUCUGAAAAACUGUUACGAAGAACUUCAUAUCUGAGGAAACAAGACAAAUAUCAUAAAUACAGUAGGUUAGAGUUGUGGGGAGCCUUUAGGAUCAAAUGCUAACAAUUUCAUUCAGUUGAAAAUAAUGACAUAUAAACAUCAGGCAAUGGGUAGCACUAGUAGUGGCUUUGUGGGGAGACAAGGCAAUGCUGGUAAGAGCUCAGCUCAAGCUGCCUGUGGAACAGCUCAGGCUGUUCUGUGGAAAGGCUUUAUUUCCAGGAUGCUGAUUAGAUUGCUGUCCUGCCACAGAGCAGCAAAUAAAAUCUCUAUAUAUGUUUAUUUUAAGCACGGCUCAGGACCUCCUGGCACCCUGCUUCUGACCAAGCAGCUCCCUGGAUUUCUCUCUCAAGAGAAAAUUGUUUGCCUGUCAUUUAGUGUUUUAAAAAUCUCUACAAUUAAAUACUGAGCAAGUGUCAGUCAUAGUGUCUUCACUUGAAAGAAAAACUUUGACAGUGACUUAACAUCUUUAUUUCCCUCUUAGUUGCAUCACCACUCAUGCUGAGCACCCAUUUAAAGACUUCUAGCGAACCUAAAUAAGUGAACCUAAAUAAAAUGGCACUUCAGUGGCACAAUGUGGUUUUUAGGAAUUAGAAGACAAUUUAUUGAAUUUGAUUAUCAAACCAAAAGCAAGAACGCUCCAACUGUCUGUGAAAUUUCUAGGUAUGGGAUCAUUACAACAAAAAAGUCAAUUAAAAAGUAAAAUAAAACCAUAGUGUGCAGAUAUUUUCUAAUAAUUAGAGCUGUCAAAUGUGAUUAUUGGUGCAAUUUUUGCCCUGGUGGGAUUUUCAACAGUGAUCAGCAUUGCUGUGGCAAUUACCAGUGUGUUCUCUGGUUCCUUUGCAUGCAGUGUUUCUGACAGAGCUGUAUGAAACAGCAAGGUUAAACACAGAAAAAAAUCUGUCCUGGUUUCAGAAAACCUUUUAAAGAAUUGGAUAUUUUGGUUUAUCUUCCCUUCUAAUUCCCACAAAAACAUAACAUCUGCCUACGUCAUUUCAGCAAAAUGAGAGAUGAAUGACCGCACUGUUUCUUAUCCCACUCCUUCUACUCAAAGGGAAAGCAAUGGUAAGCACAACAUCAGGCUGAACAACUGUUUAACUCAUUCUCAGCAAUCCCAACAAAGCUGUGCUUGAAAUUUGCACCUUCUCCAGCUGCAAGAUAUUGAUGUCAGCUGUACUAUUAAUGAUGGAGAGGUAAGUCAUGCGCAACUACUUGAUGACAGCUUGACAGAAUUUACCAAAGAUUUUUCAGUUCUUAUGAUCACAUCUUUACAGGCAGAUGCAAGGCAGCUUUAGGAGGCAGGUAGGAGAAGUUAACCCAGUCCUAUGCUCAAGGCAAUGAUGUGAGCUUUGAGACCCAUAGCAAAGGCAUGGGGAACUUACAUCAUUUUGUAGACAUCUCCAAAUGUGACUACAGGUUUGUUAUUUCACUGCAUCCUACCCUUAUGUGAGCCACAUAUUGGUGAUAGUAGGACCACAUCUCCAGGAACAGUCAUAAAAUAUACACUAAAUCUGCUUGGCCGGAGCUUCCACUCAACAAAGUGGUUGCAUGUACAACAUACAAAAAAAAACCUGCAGAGGCAGAUCUGUGCUUAAAUAUCAACUUGGCACAAGCAAACAUGCUGUCUUUGCACAGGUGCAUGCAUUUCCAGUCAGUUUCUGCUUAGAAUAUUCUCCUCUGUGUCAUCACCAUAGAAAAGAUGCAACAGAUACAACAUAACUGUUGGAAGAAAAAUAAAAUUGCUGUUGACGUUGUUGUUAAUAUUUUAAAGAGUUACAGGAGAUCUUUCUUCAGUCAGUUUUGCAAAUGUUUUUUAGCCUAACCCAAAGGCCUGCUGGGAGAACUGCCUGUAAUGCCAGAAAAAAAUAGAAGGCAUCAUACAUAAGAACAAAAGCUAGCUAUCAGCUGUGGUUAUAAGUGAAUUUUUCCUUUAGCUUUUCUUCUACAAAGCUGAGCCUUGAAGAUGUUACGAUACUUUCUUUUCAAUCAAGAUUUCAAUCAAGUUUUGAUAUAAUUCAACAGUUCAACUUCCAGCCACGGAUGCAGAGAUAAGCCUGCAGGGAUAGCCUUGCUGUCCUGAAGCAACCUCAGGAUAUUCCUCUACCCAGUACAGUUUUCAUCAGUUUCCCCACAAGUUUAAAAUGCCCGUUCUGUAAGGAUUUUCAGACAUCUGCUAAUUCUACUUUUGAUGAGGUCUUUGGACUAUGUGAUGGGGAUACCAAUGCCUUUGGUUUCUUUUGAAAGGCCAGAAAAACAUAUAUAUAUAGCUAAUAUGUCCUAAGUACUAAAUCCCAGGGUUCCUUCUAAUUAUACUAGGAUCUACUUGAGAUACAGUCCACUGAGGAGAGGGCAGCACUGCUGGUUUAGGCCAAACUUCUGAGAGCUGCCUGUUAAUGAUUCACUUCCUUUUGUCAAGAGAAGGAAUUGUAAUUCAGCUUUUAAAGAAAACAAUUCCAAGGAGAAUCUGUGCUACCAGUGACAUGACUCUUGGGUCAAAAACUUAAGGAAGAUAAAAUACCAGAGCUGCUGGAUAAGAGUUCAUCCAGACCACUAGAAGAAAAUCAGACAUUUCUAAACUCACAGGGAAAACAAUGAACCCAGAAAACUAUCCUGUAUUUAUAUAAGUUUGACCAAGUAGUUGCCCUGACUCACUGAGUUCUAUAAAUCUUAAAAAGAAAAUCCUAUUAAACAAAAAACACUGUAUUAAUGUUAAGCUAUGUACAAUCCACAGUCCUGAUAUUUGUGCUCUGCAAAACUUUCCUCUUCCUGCUGCAUCGUCUCCAUAGCUUUAACCAACACUAUGGGUUUUUCUUAGACUUUCCCGAAUUCUUGUUGAGACAAAGGAAGCUGAUUUUGGUGGGUAUUCUGUUGCCACUGCUGCAAUCAGGAGCACGUGAGUCUGUAAGUAAGGCCUCUGGAUGCACUAUAGAUGGCAGUUGCCACUUCCUCACCAGUGCUGAAAUUAUUCAGAAACUUGAAAGCAGUAGUCCCAACCAAACUUUAAGAUAUCAAGCAUCCUGCUUGAAAUUUAGGUUUAGUUUCAUGUUGAGCAUUGUACGGCUGGUUAUAGGCUUGGAGAUAGAAGGACCUGUAUCUAAUUUAAAGUCAUUUUGAUUAGUAAACAGGUGUACAGGAACUGUUGUGAUUAUCUUGGGUAAAGAGACUGUAAAAUGUGAUGCUUCUGGUAUUGCUUUUAUUUCCAAUAUAGAAUACAAAUGCAUAAAAUACACCACUGUAUAUGGGUGUGGAUUUCAUGCCAACAGUAAGAGCUCUGUUCAGUACAAAGCAAAUCUAUGCAAUUAGACAAAUGAAUAUGUUGACCGAUGAACAUAGCCGUAAAACCCACCCAAAGCCAGAAAGUUCUCAGCUCCUCUAGAAACUCUGCAAACUCCCAAAGCACAGCUUCAUUAAGCUUACUGGCAAAAUGGGAAGAGUGAAUUACAGAGGUAAGCAAGCAAGCCAAGCUUUGGGCAAUACUGAUAACGCUCACAUUAGUUGUUUUAGAAAUUAAAUUGUUUAAAUUAAGAUAUCAACCCAUUUGUAUUUAUUAUACAGAAAGAUUUAAAGUAGAAGAUUCAAAGGAGACGAAUCAGGCUCUCUCUUUGAGCAGACCUCUGGCAUGGCAUAUAACCUGCCAGUGGCUGUGAAGGAAGCUAGGGAAACCAGUCCCCUAACCUACACAUACCAGCCUUCAGUUUAACACUACGCUCUGUGAAGAUCUUUCACAGAGGAAAUCAGACCGUGCUCAGAAACAGCCCAAAUCUUUUACACACAGAGGGAAAUGCUGAAAACAAGAGUUGAAACAUCAGCCACAUCUGGACAUAAUCCAUAGACAAACUUUCCCUUGAAUUUGAACUUGGAUUCAAAGAAUAGAGGGUGGGGAGGGAGGCCAUAAACCCUCCUGUGAUGUGACAAGUGUGGGUUGUUCUCAUUAAGGUGAUGCUGUGCUUUUAAUUAAAUAGUUGCUUCGUUUGGCUCAGAAGUGUCAAAUAUAAUUAAUACGACAUUGAUUACUCCACAGUAAUCUCAGGAGAUUCAUUUUUUUUUUGCUCCCUUCAAAGGCCACACACUGCUCAGAUGGAAGUGGGAUGGUCCCUUUGCUACCAGCCUGGAUUAUCUCUAAUUUCUGUGCUUGCCUCUUGUUUUACUGUCUGUCUUUUCUUCUACUACUGAGUGUUCAGCCUUUCUUUCCUGUCAAAGGUCUUUUAAACUUCUGUGUUGUUGCAAUACAUUUGAUUACCUCAGGAAAGCUAGAGAAAGGUACAGGCAAUUGAGCAUCUACCUGUCUGCCUACCUAUACAUGCACUCACUCACAGUGGUUAAGGAGGACAUAAUUUCUACAUGUGUGCAUGCAUUCACACAUGCUGUGGUACCAGCAAGAUGUAUUGUGACUACAGUGAAUCAGAGCUGUUCCUACUGUGGCUAAAAGGAGCUUUCCCCUACAGUUUUCUAGACUCUGCUUUUCUCAGAUGAGAAUCUUUUCUCUCUCAGAAGGAAAUACAUGCUUUAUAUCCUCCACCUUUCUGCAGAGAUGUCACCAGAUGUACAAGGAAAGCUGGCAUUUCAUUUUUUUGCUCUUUAUGGCAUUCCCAGCUACCAAAGUGAAAUGUCACAACUGACUUGAAAACCCUAAAGCCCAGGUUUUGAUGUGGGAUUUCUGGUGCUGUCAUCUUCUCCUUGCAUUACUGAGUGAUGUCAGAGAUGUGGCUGAGCAUGGAUCUGUCAGUACACAGUCCCUGUAAAGAGGACUCCUGGGUACGUUGUGGCCUUCUUUGGGCUCCUACCUCCCUAGGGAGCCGUGGCUCAAUCUAUACAUGUGUUCUCUGCCCGAUUUUCUUCCUGUGAUAUUGUUAUCCAGCUUCUCAAGGACACACCAGAAGCUGAAUUUCUCAUUGCUCUUCAAGUGCUUUACAAACAAAAAGCCAUAUAUAAGUACUGCUGUUAACUUGUAGUAGGGCUGAUGGGCUCACACAGAAGGGCACAGCGCAGUAGAAGAAACAUGGACUUUAGGUCUUUAGGCACAAAGAGUUAUGACAGGCAUACUCACACAUAGCAAGCUAAGGCUUUCCCUCCUGCCUAAGUCCCAGGUUUUUCUUCUCUGCAUACCGAAGACCCCAAAGUUGGUGGCCCCUCUGCACAGCCCGCAGAGACAUCUAGUGACUGAACGACAUACUGCUGGCAAGCACGGGAUUGCGACGGGCUGCUCGGGUAAGCUAUGCACUUCCUAUUUGCUGUAGAUACUUACUAAAUCUAAAUAUUUUAAAAAUAAAUCAGGACUGAGGCAUGCUCUCUCAGUGGCCCAACAGGAUGCUCUCCCACUGUUUAUCUUGGUUGAACACACAAAGUUUUGUUGUAAGGAAGCAUUACUCAGCCUGAUGCAGAUACAGAUUGUUAGCAUGUUGUAUUUGCCCAAAACGUCUGGAGAGGAUAUAGGGUAAUCUGCAGAAGUUCAGCCAGAUGGAUGUGUUGUGUUGGGCUGGUAUAAAUCAUGGAGCACUGAACUGCUGGGGGAAGGAAAGAGGUUAAAUCAUUUACAGCAAAAGCCACUCAGGUCUUUGCAUGCAGACCUGCUUCAUCUCUAACUACCAGAGCUCUUCAAAGAUUGAGAGCUCUGAUUCUUCCAGGCACUGAGGAGAUCAUGGUGCUCGUCAGAGUUCAACAGGACCGAAUGUUUCCAGCUGAAUCGUGAGAUCAGAGCUGAAGGAUGCUGAUAUCCCUGCAGGCACGGACACAGAAGCACGUUCCUCUGAAGCAGCAGCACAUCAGCUUAGUUGUGGUGUCUGGGACUGGCUAUCCUUCCCAGCAAAUGUGAAUUAUUGCAGUCUAACUCAACUCACAGUGGAAAGAGUUUCAGAUAAAUUGCAUUCUCUCUCAUCAUCCAUAUGCCCUGACAGUUACUACUAUGUCUCAGCUGACUCUAAAGCCCAAACAGGAUUUAAGUAGAACACAAUGCGUUCGUAGAUCUUCUAGCAAUCCAAAUACCCAAGAUAUAAGCUGUUGGGAGUUUGAUUGAUUGCUCUCCCUCUGCUUAUCAACUCUGUCUUGUAUACACUGUCACUGAUGCCUGAGCUUGCUCUGUCUUGUGCAAGUAGUGCUAAUCCAUUGCACGCACACACCAGGUCCAGGAUCUGCUGAUCCACCUCUUCCACUUUGUCUAAUGCUUCCGGACCUGACUUAGAUUAAUAUUGUUGCUAUUCACUUGUUCCUCAUGUUUGCUCAGAAGCAAGAAACAAGAACUUCCAGGGUUAGCAUUCAUGCUGUUUGGUAUUCUAACUCCGAAUCACCUCUGAGUGCUUGAAAGAACUGGUUCAGAGGUAGCCCUAAACCACAGCAGAGAAAGAGGAGAGAAUAACCUGCAGAGGGCUGAUUUCUAAUAUUUAGAAGGAGUUUAGCAGCUCUAGGUUUGUUAUCCCUUGUUAGCAUUAGUUACAACUGAAUAGUCUGGAUGUGUAUACAUAUUUAAUAUCUGGCUAGCGGCCAGAGGAGAAGAACAAAAAGAAAAUGAAUAAUAAGGAGGGAGAAAUACUGAACGGAUCUUUAUUUUUAUCUCAACAUUCUUCAUGGAAGCUUGAGGAUGGGUUUCAAUUCAUCUCAAUUUGCUCAGCCCAUCCUAGUUAUGGAAGGCUGGAACCCACCCAAGUUUUUACCAUAAGAACAAUUCGAUAGCAUUGACAAAAAUACUUAUUCAUAGCUUUUGUGUCUGUAUGUGUGUAAUGUCUGGGCACGCACAAGUGUUAACAAUCAUUAAUGCUUCCUUGUUUGCUGAAAUAAGUGAAACCAUGUUCAAAGUGUCCAAGAAACCUAACUUCACUUUUCUAUCCCCACCUCAGUUUUGAUAAAACAAAUUCAUCAUCACUGCCAGCAAUUCCAAAAAAAGAUGUCAAAACAAAAAUACAAGGAAUAAAUUAUAUCCCACCUCUCCUUCAUAAUUGAAGACCACAAGAGUCUAAAGUAAGCACAUAAAUAAAACUCUGAGGACCAUUUUGACCCAUUCAGAAAACACAAUGGUUUUGUGGUGAUUUCGAGAUCUGUCUGGGUAUGUUUACCAGCAGAUGUCUCUUUUCCUAUUGAUCAACAGGACUAAGAAAGGAAAGGAAGUAAUCCACAUAGAAAAAUACAUGUGCUUUCAUCUGCCAAGUCCCUAACAGGCAGGAUCAUGUGGGGGCACCCAUGAUGGGUGCAUGGCCCAGAGGUAUUGCCAAGGCCACCUGUAUGAAAGUUCUUGGCCAGCGGUGAUGCUUUACAGAAGGAAGGGCAGUCCCCAUUCGGUGGGUCUCUGCAAAUUUGAGUUAACAGCCUCCCAACCAAUGCUGUGAAUUAACAUUAUUAAUCUUUAAUUACUGAUUGCAAAGAUUUCUCAAGACUGAACACAGGAGACAAGUAGAGGAGGUGGGACACACAUUUUAACUUUAUGUGCUUAGUUUAAAUGUCCAAAUUCAGAAACCAGUCCGUUUUUCUAUCUAAUGGAAGGAAUUUCAUUACAGUGAUUUCAUUACAUAUUCAGUUAGUUUUCUGAAGGACUUAGUAAUCAUAGGAGCCUUGACAAUCCUGGCAGAUUUCACAGUACAGUGUUAUAGGCAUAGUACUGAUCCUCUGAGGUGUUAAGGGAAGGGACACGCAUAUGGUGGCUACUCAUGACAGCAUUACUGAGUAGGGAUGGACAGCUAAACUCCUUAACCUGGGCAUCCAACUUAAACAGUAUUUUACAGUGUUUGGAAGAUGAAUAUGAAAGAUGCUGCGCUUGCAGACACCUUUCACACACACAGACUGCCAUUGUAGCUCUUCAUGGAGCGUGAAGGAUUACUCACUGCAUUUAUACGCAGACCUGGUGCCAGGACCCUCAACCUGUGCUCUGCACUAUGGAGCAGAUGCAGAAAAGACUCUGAUCUUGUUAAUGCUUAGCAAUAUAUAGCAGGCCUCAGUUUGCCCCAGAGGGGACUGUCCAGCAAAUGGCCCAUUUUACACAUAAACUGAUGGCUUUGCUGCUCUCCUCUUGCAUCCACAGCUAAAUACAAGAGCUGUAGGUCUGUGAGGUUUUUUUGUUCUGGGCUUAUUUAAGAUGAAAACAUUCACAGUAAGUGGGAUGUGAUAGUGAUAGCACCGUUCCAAAAUAAACAUCUUAGUAAAAGAUCCUACGGUCAAUCACUGUGCCAUAAACCACAGCCAAAUAAAAGGGGAAAAAAAAAACAACGGAAGUGUUUCCUUCUAAGUGAGCCUCCCUCUUAGCUUUCUGGUAGUUUCUUUGCCUUAUGAUCACUCAUUCAUGAUUUUCUCUUUUACUCUCAACCCUUCCUUUGAGGAAGCCCUGCAGUUCUCUUCAGGGGGUCAAUGACAGGGAUUCAGUGUGUGACAACAUUGUCCUGUCUGUGCUUGGCAGCGUCUCCACUUCUUUUUUCUCUGUGAUUCAGACACAGAAUUGAUUCUACAAAUACGUAUGCUUUUGCCAUUAUUAACCUUUAUAAACUCUUGUGUGGGAUCCCAUCAUUGCCUCUGGGCGGUGGCCUCUGGCUAGAAGACCUCCUAGCCACCAUAUACUGCAUUUGUAAAUGAAGUUCUCUGGGUGUUCAGCAUCCAGUUUGCAUGAAACCCUGCCAAGUCUGUCAGCAUUAAAUGUUGAAUUGAUAGUGAACUUUCAUAAAGCAGGUCAUAUAAUAAUCUCUUCCAUGAAUUACUGUUGUGAAUUGCUAUAAAUUGCUUUGCAACUGGUUCCAAGCUGUAUUUUUACUGUCCCUUCACAGUACAUUCAUAGAAAGAGGAACCAAAUAAGAUGUAUUCUACCCCAAAAUCUUGUGAUCUUGCCACACAGUUUCUAGACCAUCUUUGAUCAUGCAGGGCAAAAAAUGGAGCCAGUCUGUGCACUACUUAUGGGAGCUUGUGUUAAUCCUGUACACAAAUAAACUCAAGUCUAGUUUUAAAGAGUUGCGAUCUUUCCCUAGAAUAGAAAUAUCAGGAAUGUGAAGAAAGUAGAAAAAAAGACAGUUUGUUUCUUAAAAACAAAAGUGCAAAUACAGUGAUUGUUCAUCUCCACAGGAACUAAGAGUUCACAGCUUCUCUAAAAAGCAAGCUCAACAGUACAAAGUACUUUUAUAAUAUCCAACAAUACUAUAAAUUCAUCUCUGCUGUACCUUGCUCCUUGGCUCUUGUCCUGGUUUCAGCUGGGACAGAGUUGGUCUUCAUAGCAUAUGGUUUGAUGCUAUGUUUUGGCUUUAGGAGAAAAACAACAUUGCUAACACAUUGAUAUUUUAGUUGUUGCUGAGCAGUGCUGUAGAGAGACAAGGAUAUUUCAGUUUUUCAGCUUCUAGUACUGUUCUGCCAGCAUGGGGACCUGCGGAGCAUGAGGAGCUCAGAAGGGACAGAACCAGGACAGCUAGCUUACACUGGCCAAAAGGAUAUUCCAUAUUAUAUGACAUCAUACGAAAAAGAACUUCAAAAAUGGUGGGGACUUGGCUGGGGGAGCAGCUGCUGCUUGUAGACUGGCUGGACAUCAGUCCACAAGUGACAAUUAAUUUUUUAGGACUGUGGGUUGAAGAGAGCAGCCAGGUAAAAGGUCAUGAACACCAAAAUCCUCUACUUCUCCUCUGCAACAGAGAAAGACUUCCCUCCCAACACUGUGCCCGUGCGCCCCAACCUUCUCCCAGAGGAGUCAUCCCUACGGAAGAAGAGUUGCAUGAUUUUCCUCCAUGUGCUGCCAGCCUUUCCUUGUGCGGAAGGCAGUGGUCCAUAGGGGACCAGACAAGCAUUAGCAAUCUCCUUCCAUGCUGAACACUCCAGAGAAAUGACAAGCAAGAAGUAAAUCUUCAUUUAUCCUCAUUGCACACAGGAAUACUGGCAUUUUCCAGGCUGCCAGAGAAAUGUCUUCUAAGAACCCCCUUUAAAGGCCACCAUCAGGUCUCCCUGGAGCCUUCUCUUCUCCAGACUGAUCAGCCCCAGCUUUCUCAGCCUCUCCUUGUAGGGAGGUGUUUCAUCUGGAUCAUUUUUUGGCUCUCUCCUGGAUGCUCUCCAACAGGUCCACAUCUCUCAUGUACUGAAGACUCCACAUCUUGACGUAGUUCUCCAGCUGUCUAAAGGUGAGGACUCCAGCCCCACAAGAAGAUUUUUGUCACAUUCCUGGAGAGGGGUGGAUACCUUCAGAGGGAGAUUUGGGCACCCUAAGGUGAGUAGUCAAGGCAAGUGGAUGAUUCUCAGGAAAUAACACAAAAGCCCAAUCUUCGCAAGAGAAACUAUUUUGAAUCAUGUGAUCCAGGUAUUAUCUAUGGCAAAGACUGCAUCCUCCAGAUUCUCAGUCUUUGAAAUUGCUUAUUCUGACACUUUAUCACAAAAUGUGGCCAAAAUUCAAGAUUGGGAAGCUUGCUCUUGGCUUCAGUAUCAUACAGAUUCAAUUACAUUUUUUUUCCACACUAAGCUGUAUCUCAAUAUGAUUUCCUUCAAUUAUGUAUUUCAAAUAAAUUGUUCUGUGUCCUCUGCAUCAUUCUUAGUCACCUUGACUGUCCCAGGAGAUACGUCCAAGAGUAAGAGGCAGUGCUGGACACACUCACAUGCACAUUGGCCAGCUGUAGACACUGGCCACUUCAUUAGCUGGAUGAUGUCAAACAGAGCUGUGUAGGGUGAGUCUUCUUUGCUUUCCCACAAGAGGACAUGCAAGUUUGGGUUCCUCUUUCCUUCUCACAUGCUGAUUUUCAUUAAGUCUAUGGAAAUGCAAUUAUCUUUGAGGCUCCCAUCCCCUUUCAAUUUUGGUGGAAAUAAGCUUAACAGUUACUGGAAAGGCUAAACAGAUAGGCAGAUAUCAGCAGACACAAUUCACACAUCCCUACUAAACCACACUAAAAAGACCUAUUUGCCAUUUACUGAACACCAG
ensembl:lncRNA